UUGCGGUUAAAAAGCUCGUAGUUGGAUUUCUGUUGAGGACGGCCGGUCCGCACUAUGUGCGUGUAUCUGGUUCGGCCUCGGCAUCCUCUUGAGGAACGUUUCUGCGCUUGAUUGCGCGGAGCGGUAUUCAAGACUUUUACUUUGAGGAAAUUAGAGUGUUCACGGCAGGCAAGCGCCUUGAAUAUGUUAGCAUGGAAUAAUAAUAUAGGAUCUUGGUUCUAUUUGUUGGUUUCUAGGGCUAAGGUAAUGAUUAAUAGGGAUAAUUGGGGGCAUUUGUAUUAACGCGUCAGAGGUGGAAUUCUUGGAUUGCGUUACGACAAACUACUGCGAAAGCAUUUGCCAAGGAUGUUUUCAUUGAUCAAGAACGAAAGUAUGGGGAUCGAAGAUGAUUAGAUACCGUCGUAGUCUAUACCAUAAACUAUGCCGACUAGGGAUUGGAGGUCGUUCUUUUUAUGACUCCUUCAGCACCUUAUGAGAAAUCAAAGUCUUUGGGUUCCGGGGGGAGUAUAGUCGCAAGGCUGAAACUUAAAGGAAUUGACGGAAGGGCACCACCAGGAGUGGAGCCUGCGGCUUAAUUUGACUCA
rnacentral:rRNA from 1 species